GCAUCAAUAGUCUAGUGGUUAGGAUAGGUGCCUUCCAAGCACUUGACCCGGGUUCGAAUCCCGGUUGAUGCA
rfam:Stylonychia lemnae strain 130c genome assembly, contig: Contig9100